AUGCGGCAGAGACAGAGCGCAGGGCUGGCGGCACUGGCCAUGGUGCUCCUCGUGGCUGUGGGCAGAGCCCAGGUGCAGCAGGAGUUGUCAGCAGAGGCCACAGAGGGCACCAGCAUCAGCAUCAGCUGCUCACACCCCAACAUACAGACUAACGAGUACAUCCACUGGUACCGGCACCUCCCGGGACGAGGUCCCAUGUUCAUUGUGAGUGCUCUCAAAGGGUCCAAAGAGGUGCAGGACCCUCCAGGAACCCUGCUCGUGGCUGCAGACCGCCGGUCCAGUGCCCUGCAGCUCACAUGGCCCCAGCGGCGUGACACGGCGGUGUAUUACUGCACCCUGAGAGACCCGGCGGGACAGGCUGGGGCUGCGGCUGUGCACAAACCCCCGUGGGUGAGGCAGGGUGGGAGUGGAGGUGGGUGCAUGGCACCCUCGGGCCGCCAGGAGGCGCCACCCCACCUCCAGCUUGCCCAGUCGUGGAUCGCCCUCUGCUGGGGCCUCAGUUGGCUGGAAGGCCCCUGGAUUUAG